UAAAAAAAUAUGCACCCCUAUGUUUAUUGCAGCACUAUUUACAAUAGCCAAGAUAUGAAAACAGCCCAAGUGUUCAUUGAUAGAUGACUGGCUAAACCAUCGUCAUCAUAUAUGUAUAUAUGUAUGUUUUGGUAACCAACUGCCUGACUGUACUGUGCAUGGAGACAUCACAUGGACAAAGAGAAAUUUUGGAGGUUAAGAACUGCUAGAGAAGAAAGGGAAGUCCAUCAUAGCUAAGCAUCUCACCUACCCUGCUGAGACACCACCAUAUUAGAAGAUAAUAAAGCCCAGCUGAAGUAUCAAGCCAGCUCCUGGGUGUCAGGUACUGCUUUUCUCUUUCUCAAUAAUACAGUUUUAAAAGAGUAAAUUUAUGUUUAUUUUUAUUGCAAGAAAUGGUGUGAUUAAUGUUGUAGAUGAAACACCAGCAUGCUCAGAAGUAAAUCAGACUUUAUCUGAAGGAUAUAGAGAGAAGGGGAUUUGGGAUGUGGUAAACAGAAGCAUUUAUUAAAAGAAAAACUCACAAAUAAUAGUUUAUUUUAAUGCUGUUACUGCAUUUUUCUUUGCUUUUGUUUAGCACUGGAUAAAUAUCCAAGAUUAAUUAUGAUUCUCAGGUUUUUAUAAAAUAAUUCUACGUUCAUGAAACAUUUUCCUAGCCCCUUCAAUAUGUAGAAACUCAUAUGAACUCAUUCAAUAUGUAGAAACAACCAGUAAUUGAUUUAACAGCUCAAAUUUCCACUUUUGCUUUAGUGGUAUCUUAUACACUAAGCCAUCGAAAACUAAGUUCCUUCCUAAAUACUUGUUAUGAUACUUGAAAUUAAAUCUGGUAUUUUAUUUGUGUAGCAUGGGUUAUUAUCCCAACAUUUGGAAUGAGAAAACUAAGGCAGAAAACUGUUACAUAUUUUGCCUUAAGACCCAAUGAUUCAACAACAACCUAUUAUUGAUUUGUUUCAUACGUGCAGGCCCAUUUAUGAGUUUCAGUUAUUAAAAGAAAAAGAUUUCAAAAAUAUCACUAAUUUUAUAAUGAAAACUAGUUCAAUUAGCGCAAUAGAAAAAUAAUUCUGUGCC